CACUCGUCCCGUUUACACGUAUAUACAGUGAUCGGUUCUCAACACUCGUAUCGAUUCGUUCGGCGAAGAAACCGAGAGAAAAGCGAGACGCGCUCGCGCCAGUUCGUUCGAGCGUGGCAAAGAAACGUGUCGAUGGUAGGUGCGGAAUGCGACGAGCGAGCGAAAAGUAUCAGAUACCACCAUGAGAUUGUCGGAGGGUCGAUCUCUAAGAAGAUACAUCCUUCGUCAGGAGUCUUUCACGAUCGUGAUCGAUGUAGCGAGCUCGUACUUGCGAAUCUUGGAAGCUGAAUCGAUCGAUCGAUCGAUCGAUCGAUCGAUUCAUGAGCAUGGAAGAGAGUCAGUUAUCCAGUGAUCGAGACGCGUUCCUGUACGAUCUGCGUGAGUUUACGAGUCGUUUCUUGCGCCCUCGGGCUUUAAAAGCGAGGCCAUUCGAACAAGAGAGCAAAAGGGAGAGAGAGAGAGAGAGAGAGAGAGAGAGAAAGAAAGAAAGAAAGAGAAAUCAAAGGCUACCCUUCGAAUGCACUGCUCUCUUUGUGUCUUCUACGGCGACGCAUCGACGCGCACUUGGAAUGUCGCUUUAUCGUAGCGAGAAAAAGAUUUUUAUUUCUGCUAUACUACUCUUUUAUAUCUACAGGUCACGACCCUGGGAAACAGCUGUCCAUUUGUAAGAAGAAGAAGAAGAAGAAGAAGAAGAGGAUGAAGAAGAAGAAGAAGACGAACGUUGGGAGGACGAGGGAAAGAGAGGAGUGAAGACGAAAGGAGAACUCACGACGCCGCCAAAUUUGGUCUCGCGAAUGUUGGCGGAAUUACAGAUCGUCGCCUCCUUCUUGUGUCCUUUCUCUCGACUCUCCUCGUCCCUUUAUGCCAGCCCUUCCUUUCUCUCUCUCUCUCUCUCUCUCUCUCUCUCUCUCUCCCUCUCUCUUUCUGCAACUCUACAACUCUCGAACUUCUUCAAGUUCGAACCUUUUCUACCGCUGCCGAAACGUACAAUUCGAAUCCUUGGUCACCGUUCGUAAUUAGUACACGCCUACUUUCCUGAACGUGUUUGUUACACUAUACGAACUCGUAUAUGUAAAUCUGUGAGGAAUUGGUGUGUUCGUGUCCACAUGCAGGGUCGCGAGAGCAAGAAGACGAAAAGUUCAAAGUAUUUCGCGCUAAUUCGUUCGGUCGGCAAGCCGACUGACCAGCCGGAUUCUCUUUCACCCUUUUCUUCGGAGCCAUCAGACGAUUCUCCUCUUUAAAUCGUCCGGCCCGCUUUUUGCUGACUUCAAGCGGGAUAUAUUCCGGAGCUUGUCCUCGUCCCGACCAAAAGUACAUUCAAAUUGAGAUUAACUCGAGGACGACGAUCGCGUUAAAAAUCUGCCCGGUGCGCGACGGAUAACGAAGAAACUUACUCUAUUUCGAGAUAUCCCUUUUUUCUGUUAUUUCAUGGAACUUAAAUUAUUCACAAUAAGGUUCUAUUAUUUUUCUAUAUCUUUGUUUUAUUUCCAAAAGCGAUAAAUCCAUUUUACAU